AAGGAAGGAGAGGCUGUUUCUACAGGUGUCACAGAAAAAAUCGAUACUGAGCCACAGAUUAUUGGAUCCCAUAGAACCGUGGAGACUUGGCAGUGAAAUUCUUCCAAAGG
rnacentral:lncRNA from 1 species